UUCUUACUCCCUCCGUCGAAAAUACUUGUCAUCAAAAUGAACAAAAAGAGAUGUAUCUAAACCUAAAAUACAUCUAAAUACAUCCCCUUUAUUCAUUUUGUUGACAAGUAUUUUCGGACGGAGGAAAUAUAAU
rfam:Triticum aestivum genome assembly, contig: Triticum_aestivum_CS42_TGACv1_scaffold_226270_3B